UACGUAGGGACCAAGCGUUGUUCGGAUUUACUGGGCGUAAAGGGCGCGUAGGCGGCAAUUCAAGUCAUCUGUGAAAUCUCCGGGCUUAACUUGGAAACUGCCAUUGAUACUAUCAAUCUUGAAUACCGUGGAGGUCAGCGGAAUAUGUCAUGUAGCGGUGAAAUGCUUAGAUAUGACAUAGAACACCAAUUGCGAAGGCAGCUGGCUACACGAAUAUUGACACUGAUGCACGAAAGCGUGGGGAUCAAACAGG
rnacentral:rRNA from 1 species